AUUGAACGCUGGCGGCAGGCCUAACACAUGCAAGUCGAGCGGAUGACGGGAGCUUGCUCCUUGAUUCAGCGGCGGACGGGUGAGUAAUGCCUAGGAAUCUGCCUGGUAGUGGGGGACAACGUUUCGAAAGGAACGCUAAUACCGCAUACGUCCUACGGGAGAAAGCAGGGGACCUUCGGGCCUUGCGCUACCAGAUGAGCUUAGGUAGGAUUAGCUAGUAGGUGAGGUAAUGGCUCACCUAGGCGACGAUCCGUAACUGGUCUGAGAGGAUGAUCAGUCACACUGGAACUGAGACACGGUCCAGACUCCUACGGGAGGCAGCAGUGGGGAAUAUUGGACAAUGGGCGAAAGCCUGAUCCAGCCAUGCCGCGUGUGUGAAGAAGGUCUUCGGAUUGUAAAGCACUUUAAGUUGGGAGGAAGGGCAGUAAGCUAAUACCUUGCUGUUUUGACGUUACCGACAGAAUAAGCACCGGCUAACUCUGUGCCAGCAGCCGCGGUAAUAC
rnacentral:rRNA from 1 species